rnacentral:ncRNA from 1 species
CACUUUAUGUGAGUAAGAUCCCUGGAAGAUGACCAGGUAGAUAGGUCAGAGGUGGAAGCAUGGCGACAUGUGGAGCUGACUGAUACUAAUCGAUCGAGGACUUAACCAC